GAGACAGAGUGUUCCCUCCCUCCAUCGCUUCUUUCCUGCUUCCUGCUGGUCAGAACGCAGACUCAGUGUCUGAUCUGGAGCAGGACCUGGAGCCAUGAGUGAGGAGCCUUAUGCUGAGCUGGGCGGAGCAACAAGAUAGAGGGGGCCUGGGCCUUGAUGUCUCAGAGUCACUGUGCUGGCCCUGGACUGCCCACAUUUACAUGACAGAGCUUCAUCUUUAUCUUAUUAAAGGUGUGUCCAGAGGAAACUCAGUGCCACAGUGAUCUGACAUCCGCCAUCGCUGAUGUAAAAAACACGCAAAAAACUUGGCUCUAAUUGUUGGAAACGUUGCAUCAUUUCUUUUUCUCCUUGAACUUGUAAUCUGCUGGCAAGAUUUGAUGAAAAUACCUCCUGUUUUUAUGCUUGGAAGUCUUUUAUUGAUCAUUACUGCAACAAAAACACGUAUAAAUUAAACUUGAAAAUUUGCAAAUGUCUGUGACCACAAUGCUUUCAGUGUUUCACACAUGAUUCUGAAUUGCAUUAUCCCAGCAAUUAUGAGUGCGGCACAAUUGACGAAAACAAUGUAACAAUAGCGGGGCUGUUUUUCCAUUAAUUCACGUAUUGAUGAAUGAAUACUACUUAUGGUUAUGAAGGGACAGCUUUCAGCACCAAUGCUAUCCUGCUCCAUUUCUUCUUUUUAAUUUUGGUUUGGUUGGUGUAAGCCUGGUGAACUUUGCUUAGAUAAACAGACGGGAAUCGAAGAGUUUCUGUUAUAUUGAAUGCCUUCCACCCAAAGGGGCUGCCUUGCUUUCUGGCUUCGGAAUGAGCGUUGCCAACGGGUGAGGAGAUCCAGCGGGAGAUAGAAGGGUGGGCAGUGAGUGAGGUGGGGGGUCUUCAUUCCUCUGGAUCCCACUCGGUGUAGCCCCCGCUGCCUGCAUCCACUCCAGGUCACAGCUCCUGUCUGCAGGGCCUCCCCCUCCACGCACCCGCCGUGGAGCCCUCUGUCUCCAGAUUCCAGAACUCUCCCUCCCCUCCCCCCGCCCAGGGCCGCACUGGUAAGAGCCAGGGACCUGUCCUUUGUAAUUUCCCUUCAUCUUGCCUGCAGGUUCUGUGUCGUGCCUUUAUGAACCUAGCCUGAAAUUAGCAAAUGUGGGUGUGCCAUCUGUUUCCUGCUGGAGUCCCGACUGAUCAAUCCUUCUUUUAUAAAGUGGAAGAAGGGCAUUUGUAAAAGAGGAUGUGGAAAGGAAGAACCCACGGAGCACGCACGUCAGUCAAAGGUCUGGAAAUCGAUUAUCUGCAAACUGUCUGUGCCUGUGAACCCUAGAAAGUCACUAUGUACCCCAGGGGUCUGAGUGCUUCAGUUCGAUGAUGGCUGAUCGAAUACCUGACCAUCUGCCCCUCUCGUCUCUGCCCCGUAAUUGCAAGGACAAUGCUGGGAACCAAAGUCAUUAGAGAAGGCUGAUGAGUUGUUUAGCAUCUGGGCUAAAGGAUGCUGGGGGAGCCCCUGAGGCCACAGUGUGCAUCCGUUGCCCUCAGAGCAGGGAGGCCAGUCUCCUCCUUGAGCUGACCUUUGGGGGCUGCUCUCAGGAGCCCAGGGCCUCGCAGUCGUCUGCUGGAGUUGAGCACUUCUCACCCCCGCCGGGGAGCCCGCCUGCUUGAUCCGCCGGGCUCUCGGCAGCGCUGAUUUAGAAAUUCCAGACAGCCCAUCGAGAGUUCUUGAUUGCAGCAGCGGGCCACUGAUCUACAAUAACAUGUAAAAAGAUAGGGGUCCCCAGGCAGGACGGCAGCUGCAGUUUAAGUUGAAAUUGGAGUUAAAUGUGUGCUGGAUGCACCUCUUGGCAGAAGGGGGGCAGCAGGAAGGUGGAUAGGGGAGAGACUUCUCAUUUCCCAUCCCUGAAUUGGGCUAGAAACCCCAGGGUCGUUGCCCAGUAGUCUAGGUGUCACCAUCCCCAUUGAGACCGGAGGCUCCUGGCAAUGGCCAUGGGUGUGUUCGCAUCAGCUGCUGGUGGGUCUUCUCCCCCAGGCUCAUCCAGAGGUAGGCCAGCCUUUCUUCCUUUCUGCCCUCCUUCUUUCUAUCUUGCCUGUCCUUGAUUUUGUCCCACUUCCCCACUGAAUGCUCGGGAUUAGAUUUUCAUACCAGGGAGAGGCUCAUGCAUCUCCGUCCAUCUGGGUUGUCACCUGGUCUUCGUGAGGAAAAUGAGGUGAUGGAUGUACACCAUCUUAGAGCACUUUGCUGGGAAGGCAGGAAAUCAAUCCAGCCUGUUUCAGCCCAUCUCUCCUGCUCUGCUCGGCUGCGUGAGCCCCUGGGACCAGGCUGGGGCGGGCGGAGUGGAAAGGAACCUGCUCCUGCCUGGACAGGCUCAGAUGACCCCCACCGCCCUCCCCUGCAUUAAAUCAGAGGCUGUGGGGAGAAAGGGCGGAGGGAGGUGAUGCUCAUCGUCUCCCCCGGGGGGAACAGGUGUUCUCACCUCUUGCCUGGGUUAACUGGCUCAGUCACUUUGUGGUCGGUCUUGUUUCUGUUUUCAGAAAAAGAAACUGAGGCUCAGAGAGGAGCAAUAACUCAGCCAAGC
rnacentral:lncRNA from 1 species